CCUUAGUAACGGCGAGUGAAGCGGCAAAAGCUCAAAUUUGAAAUCUAGCACCUUCGGUGUUCGAGUUGUAAUUUGAAGAAGGUAACCUUGGGAUUGGCUCUUGUCUAUGUUUCUUGGAACAGAACGUCACAGAGGGUGAGAAUCCCGUGCGAUGAGAUGACCAAUUCUAUGUAAGGUGCUUUCGAAGAGUCGAGUUGUUUGGGAAUGCAGCUCUAAGUGGGUGGUAAAUUCCAUCUAAAGCUAAAUAUUGGCGAGAGACCGAUAGCGAACAAGUACAGUGAUGGAAAGAUGAAAAGAACUUUGAAAAGAGAGUGAAAAAGUACGUGAAAUUGUUGAAAGGGAAGGGUAUGAGAUCAGACUUGGUGUUUUGCAACCUUAUCUUCGGAUGGGGCCCCUGCAGUUCAUCGGGCCAGCAUCAGUUUGGAUGGUAGGAUAAUGACAUUGGAAUGUGGCUUGGCUUCGGUUAAGUGUUAUAGCCCUUGUUGAUACUGCCUAUCUAGACUGAGGACUGCGUCUUUGACUAGGAUGCUGGCAUAAUGAUCCUAUACCGCCCGUCUUGAAACACGGACCAAGGAGUCUAACGUCUAUGCAAGUGUUUGGGUGUAAAACCCGUACGCGUAAUGAAAGUGAACGUAGGUCUGAGCUCUUUUUGAGUGCAAGAUCGACCGAUCCUGAUGUCUUCGGAUGGAUUUGAGUAAGAGCAUAGCUGUUGGGACCCGAAAGAUGGUGAACUAUACUUGAAUAGGGUGAAGCCAGAGGAAACUCUGGUGGAGGCUCGUAGCGGUUCUGACGUGCAAAUCGAUCGUCGAAUUUGAGUAUAGGGGCGAAAGAC
rnacentral:rRNA from 1 species